rnacentral:ncRNA from 2 species
CCCGAUGCCUCUGGAAAGCGGUGCAUCGCACCCGCCCAUGGGGAAAGGCAGCCCGUCCGUGAUCACCGCGGUCGGCCGCCGAAUCUCUCAGGCAGCCCGGACCGGGCGGACGACAGAGGGGGAGGC